GGGGAUGUGGCCCAAUGGCAGAGGCGCAGUCAUGAGGUGGCUGUUUGUGUGGGUUCGAGUCCCACCAUCCCUA
rnacentral:tRNA from 1 species